rnacentral:lncRNA from 1 species
UUUACGUUAUUGUGAAAUGUACGUAGUGUGUGACAAUUUCUAAAUCACACUAAGAUAGUGUUACAAACCAAUGCAUAUUUGAGCUUUGCACAUAUAUUUGUGGCAUAAAAUGCGAUUGAAGUGGUAUUAGAAUUCUUCUAGAAACAAGAUGGGUAUCAAAAUAGGUGAGAACGUGGAGGAUGUCGAAUUUAUACCUUUAUCAAUCGGGGAAAAGAAAAAAAAAUACAUAUACCUCUUGCAAUAUCUAGCUAGGUUAAGAUGAUAUGAUACAUCGGAGAAAACUAAAAAAAAUAUUAAGAAUUAAAUUCAGUUUACCCCCUUGUUGUUCAGGUGUGACUUCUUCUGAGGAUCUCAAGCAAGUUUAGCUAGCCGGUAAGUUAACUGGUCUUUGGCUUUGUUGUCAUGUGUUGUUCUGGGCUUCUAGCACUAUCUUUGUACUGGUUAUAUUGAUUCUAUUUGUCUAAAACAUGAGCAUCUCUUAGGUUCACGAUUAGCAUAGGAACACAAACUUAAUAUGCAUUUGGUAGGUUGUUACAAAUAUAUAGUACUUUUUUAAUGCAUUGGUGGGAUAAUUUGAUUCUUCGAGUCUUUAGAUGCCUAAACCAGUACAUUACUAAGAGAAUGGAUACUAAUAGAUUACAUGAUUUUACUCUUUUAAAUCCUGGAGCUGGUUUUAGCUAGCUAUGGAAUUCUUACACUUCAGUGUUUACUUUAGAGGCUGUUUGCUUGUCAUGUAUGUGAUUGAUACUAAAUGUUGGUGUUCUUUAUAUAGGUGAAAAUUGGUGGAUUGGUGAAAAUUGACUCAUUCCUGUAAGUGACAGACUGACAGUUGUGAUUGACAGAAUUGUAAAGCAUUUAGCAACUCUUAUAUCUUCUGCUACUUUAGGAUUCGAUCAUCUUUGUUUUGUAGCUAUUGGCACUCUAUGUCCUUCCAAAUUUUGUUUCAGUGGCAUGAUCAAGAACUAAAUGAUCAUGGAAGUGACACGGUUGGUUACCAUUGACUACAAAUUGUAAACCGUUGUUUAGUGACUUUUAUGUCAUCUUUGUUCAUAUCUUAUCGGCACUUUGCGUUCCCCAGUUUUAUUUUCUUUCAAUUGCCCUGGUCAAGAACUAAUUGAUUGCUUAGUUAGAUUAUGUUCCUAGCUUACUGUUAACUGGAGCCUAGAUUACAUCCCCAUAACCUGCUGCUCAUCCAGGGCUUCAAAUUAGAGCCUUCACCCUCCUAUAGUCUUUAGCCCCUUGUGAGAAGCAAAACUCUAGCAAGUAACAAGGUAGUUGCAGUCAAGUUAGUUUCAGAUAGAAUUUUAUGUUGUUAUACUGGCAGUAUCACAAACUGUAGGGGGUUUGAAAGAGUUGAACGAGUCUGGACACACUAGCAGUUAGAAGAAAGCUCCAUUGAUUAGUGAACAAC